rnacentral:piRNA from 1 species
UAACCCUUAUCGCAUUUCUGGUUGU